AGCUUAAUUUACAGUUGUCCCUGAGGAGGCCUUUUCUUCAGCUUCUUAUCUCUGUUCUUGAUGACUCCAGCAGUACACAAAGCCCAGAAAGCAGAACCGAUACAAAUGAAGAAAUUGCAUGAUACGCAUGGACCAGUGUUCCACUUAUGCAUGGGUGCCUGGUUAAGAUAUGAAAUGGGGAAGCAUCACCUCCACCACAAACUGCAGAGUGUGUUGUGAACUGUCAGACUGAGGAGAUCACCUUGAGACGGAGCAGCUUUUAUUUCCCAAUCAGACAAUGUUGUACAGGGAGAGCUGGAUUGAACUAACUCAGAGGUGAAAGAGAGUCAGACUGAAAUUUAUAAAUUAUUUCUAGUACUUAACUUUUUUUCUUGUUAAA